GGCAUCAUGAAGCACCUUUAUUUUAAAGAGUGAAGGGUUAGCUGGAGUAAUUUACUGCAUUAUUUACUGUUAAUACUAUAGUAAGAACUUGUAACAUGCAACAAGGACACUAAAAUAAAGUAUUAGCAAUCCGAAAAUGCCAAGAUUAAGUUGCAUGUCUAGGCUUUUUAAUAAUAAAUGUCAGAUUUGUGAAUGAAUCAUUCAGACAUUCAGUCAUUCAAGUUUUAAGCACUAAUUGUUUCAUUGAACUGUUGUUUUGAUCUGUUUCAGAUCUGAAGAGGACCAGAGGGCCGCAGUAACUCCGACAGGGGUUCGUGCAGCCGGAGAGAGACAUGGAGGACUAAGUGAUCACUUUAUAAAUGAAAGCAGAUGCCUGGAAUUAUGAACUGUCGCUCCGCAGAUGGAGAACGUCGUUGAUGAAGCGCUUCCCGACCCCACUCAUGAUCACUCACUUCUGAAGCUCGCGUGUGUUCCGCCGUCACGCGUGUACCAACACAAUCACGCUUGAGUGAACGGGUUAAACCUGCUCUCAGACACAUGAUUAGGGUCCCGUUCCCCCCGUUCCUUGCGAUGCUUCGUAUUUUGCACCCGAGCAUCACGUUUGAUUGAUCUGGUUGUUGUAGCAUUUGUGAUUGAUGGCGGUUGUUGCACGGCACAAGCCCGCCAGCGCUUCUCCGAAAGCGAGCAAAGAAGGGCCUGUCAGUGUCAUUGAUCUUCUUAUAAAUGAAAUGUUCCGUUUCCCGCUGCAUUUUAUUGUUAAAUGCAGUUCAUUAGCGACGAAGAGAUUUAUCACCGAUGCUCUGUGUCGAGUGAAUCACUGCACUACAACAGAGCAUGCCACGCUGCCUGGUAGGCCGAGCCAACCUGAGGGCAAAACCAUCCAUCUCAUGUGGGAUCUGUCACUGAGAACGAUGCUGACCCAGAAUAUACCAUCUUGUCCUAAAUACCUGCAAAGCUGCCAAAGGAUGUGGUUAAAUGAAGGCCAUCAUGCACUAGGUAUUGCCAUCUUUUCUGUAACUGUAAAGUUGUAAGUUUUUACCAUAGCUUUGCAGGCUAUGUGCUUCGCUUCUGAAGUGACUCUCUGCUUUGUGUUUCAUCUUUAGUCUACAAUUUUUCCAAUUAUGCAAUAAUGCA
ensembl:lncRNA